GUCAAUUAUAACCAUAUUGUGUAAAUGUGAUCAAUGUUUUCCUUUGUGGUGGUAGUUGCAGGACAUUCAGGCCUUAGGUCAUCUUCAAAACUAUCCUUUCCUCUCCUAAAUUCAGCUACCCACUUCUGCACUGUUGAUAAAAC